GUCCAGCUGACGAGUCCUAGAUAGGACGAAACGCGCGUCCUGGAU
rnacentral:hammerhead_ribozyme from 1 species